CUUCCAUCUAAAAAGACUGAAACGCUCCGUUGGGGGCUCUUCUUUUCAAUGCAAAACCUGCGUAAACGCCCACAGGGAUUUUUGCGACACGCCUUCGUAGGGUGCCUCGUUCGUGAGGGUGUGCGCGGCGCGGCCCUCGGGGUGCAGGCUCGGCCGGCAGGUACCCGCGCCGCGCUCGCCGCCACCCGCGGGCGCGCACCCAGGGCCCCCGGGCGCCCGGCCACGCCUUGCGAUGCCUCUGCGGGCGGAAGAGCGACGAGCACCUGCGGUGGAAAAGUUCCCGAUCGUCACCCACAGAAGGACCCAGAAGACCAGGGAGAAGGUGUUCUAAGAAUCUUGGUAUCAAGCUGUCUUCGAUCUGAAUUGCUGGAAGUACAUAAGGCGCAGCUGACUUGGGUCUGACCUGGCAGGAUGGUCCCAGCAAAGAAUGCAAUAAAAUGCGGUCGCCGAGAGCGUGGUCGGGAACUGUCAUCCGGAGGCGAAGCCCAGAGCUGCCACUCAUUCACUCUGUGACCUUGGUCCAGUUACUUCAUUUCCCUGUGCCUCGGUGUGGUCAUCUGCAAGCAGUCGGGAAAGUAUCAACACGUAUCUGUGCCGGGAGAACCAACAGAGCUGGCGCGUGUAAAAGGAAGGACAGCACCUGAGGUGCAGUCGAGGCCACUGGAGAACCAGUUUAUUUGUUCCCAUGUAUUUCCGAGAAGUCCCUGCCUGCAUUAGGAGGGUAGUUUUCCACUAACUUUUAUCACUGGCUUGUCACAGGAGAGGCAAACCAACAGGUUCCCUCAAUUCCAAAAAUACCCUGUCUUUGUCCCCUUGUAUAGCAGGAACCCUAUUUCUCCUUGAUGAUCAUCAAGAUCAUUCAUCCCAGUAAGGAUAGUGACCCUCGAUCUGCUAAGAGCAAGCAACUGGACGCUGGAUCGCUGUCGCAGAAAAACUCCAAGGUCUUUACCAGCCGCACCCAACAGCAUAAGUAACACAGAUAGUCUCUCCCUCACCUCCACCUUUCAAAUCUUGACCACACACAUCUUGUAACAACCGAGCUAUUGUCAAUUUAAAAAAAAAAAAAAUACACUUAACAGUUAGAGAUGCUUCCUGAGAUACUUACAAGAUAUGAUUUCAUCUCUCUAGUAACCGGAAUAUUUCUAUCUGUGAGAUGUAAUGUCUCUUUGUCUUGGAUAGUGCUGAAGGUUUUAAUUUUCUGGGCUAUUUACCAGCACUAGGAUUCCAACCUAAGCACAGUGUUUAUUAGAAAUUCAUGUCUUAGGGUCACCUGGGUGGCUCAGUGGGUUAAAGCCUCUGCCUUCCACUCAGGUCAUGAUCUCAGGGUCCUGAGAUGGAGUCCCGCAUCGGGCUCUGCUCAGCAGGGAGCCUGCUUCCUCCUCUCUCUCUGCCUACCUCUCUGCCUACUUAUGAUCUCUGUCAAAUAAAUAAAUAAAAUAUUUUUUAAAGAAAGAAAGAAAGAAAGAAAGAAAUACAUGUCUUAAAGUGGAGGGUCCUGUGGGUGGCAUUACACGGCAGGAGUUAGAUAAUUAAUACACUCAUUCUUCCUGGUUUUGCUUUCAAAGGCAACAAACCUUGGGGAACACCUUCCUCUAGUCCUGUUUAUGCUAAUCACAUUCUCGCUGAGAAAUAAAUAAGGAGGCUUUAUGGAAAAUGUCAAGGGAAAAUAAUGACAGGGAAUGAUGCACGAGGAAACUGGGUUCAUUACCUAGAGCUGUUCCACGUAACAUCGCCAUGGGAGGUUAUUGCAUUAUUGUCCAGAUACUGAUGCACUUUUGAAAAAUUUCCAAGCAGCAGCAGAAACAGAAGAGGUUAGGACAUUUAGGUUGUAAUGGAACAUCAUUUAGAAGUGCUGCUGUUAAAAAGUAAGUAGGUAAGCACUUGGGAAAUUUGGGCAUAUAGUAUUGAGUACAUAAAAAGAUGAUAUUUUAAGCCCAAGAAUGAACUAAAAGUCCUAUUGAACAGCUGACAGUUUUGAAAAGUAUCGAAAAACUAUAGUAGCACAAAGAAUCAAAAGGAUAACUAGAGUGCCAUCUGUAUCAAUUACAUAAACACUGUGCCCUAAUGGUCCUUCCAAUUAUCCCCGCAGGCUCGACCCACUUGUCAGCAAAAAUUAAAUGGCAGAGUUAUUGUGAAAUUAUUUCUGAGAUGCUACCGACUUUUACAAAACACUCUUCAGGACAUUUACUAAUGCACUACAGUGUUGUUAUAAAUAAUUAAAAUCAAAUAAAUUCAGAAUAGCUGAAUAAUUUAAACUCUUGUCAAAAUGAAUCAGCGGAGAAUAUUCUGAGGUUUAACAUAUUUGA